UGGACAAUGGGCGCAAGCCUGAUCCAGCCAUGCCGCGUGAGUGAAGAAGGCCUUCGGGUUGUAAAGCUCUUUCGGCCGGGAAGAAAUCGUGUUCUCUGACAUAGGACAUGGCUGACGGUACCGGACUAAGAAGCACCGGCUAACUACGUGCCAGCAGCCGCGGUAAUACGUAGGGUGCGAGCGUUAAUCGGAAUUACUGGGCGUAAAGCGUGCGCAGGCGGUUUUGUAAGACAGAUGUGAAAUCCCCGGGCUUAAGCUGGGAACUGCGUUUGUGACUGCGAGGCUGGAGUACGGCAGAGGGGGGUGGAAUUCCACGUGUAGCAGUGAAAUGCGUAGAGAUGUGGAGGAACACCGAUGGCGAAGUCAGCCCCCUGGGCCUGUACUGACGCUCAUGCACGAAAGCGUGGGGAGCAAACA
rnacentral:rRNA from 1 species